rnacentral:rRNA from 1 species
GACGAACGCUGGCGGCGUGCUUAACACAUGCAAGUCGAACGAAGAGCGAUGGAAGCUUGCUUCUAUCAAUCUUAGUGGCGAACGGGUGAGUAACGCGUAAUCAACCUGCCCUUCAGAGGGGGACAACAGUUGGAAACGACUGCUAAUACCGCAUACGAUCUAAACUCGGCAUCGAGGAUAGAUGAAAGGUGGCCUCUACAUGUAAGCUAUCACUGAAGGAGGGGAUUGCGUCUGAUUAGCUAGUUGGAGGGGUAACGGCCCACCAAGGCGAUGAUCAGUAGCCGGUCUGAGAGGAUGAACGGCCACAUUGGGACUGAGACACGGCCCAGACUCCUACGGGAGGCAGCAGUGGGGAAUCUUCCGCAAUGGACGAAAGUCUGACAGAGCAACGCCGCGUGAGUGAUGACGGCCUUCGGGUUGUAAAGCUCUGUUAAUCGGGACGAAAGGCCUUCUUGCGAAUAGUGAGAAGGAUUGACGGUACCGGAAUAGAAAGCCACGGCUAACUACGUG